AAUAAUUAAAAAUAAUUAAAAAAAAUAAGUGAAAGCCCAAGUCUUGUCCAAGUUCGGUCUAGGCCCGCGAUACACCCAGUCCUAGUACUUGUUCUCUAAUGGGUUUAGGCCUGAACUUGAAAAAACCCUUUUCUAUCCCACUUUUUGCCAUUCAUAAUUCAUGUUUCAUAAAGGAAAAAAUUAUCUCCACACAAUUAAAAGGAAAUUUAAGUCUCCAUUUUCAAAUGGAGACUCCAACUACUAAUGGCAUGAACUAGCAGCCUGCACUUGUCCAAAUGCCAAGUUUGCCCGAAUGGAUAUGUAUGCUAAGACUUGACUCUACUAAAAGGAGCCGUCUUAGAUUAAUAGAGUUAGUUAAUACCAUAUUAAAUAAUGCUAGAAUUUUCGUGUUUGAAUUCUAAUUUGAGCUCAAUUGAUGUGAUUAAUUAUUCACAUCAUGGUUCAAAUAAAUUAAUUAUUAGCUAUAUUAUGUUGGCUAUUAAAGUUUAGUAUAAUGUGUUAGUUACAAAUAAGUUGUCACAUAUUCAAAUUAAAACUCAAAUGUUGAAAAUCAGUUGCAUUAUUGUACUUUAAAAAUUAUAAAUAGGAAAAGGGUCACCACAAUAUAUUAGAUAUGUCAUAAUUUAUAUUCGAACUCGAAUGGCUAGCCA
rnacentral:lncRNA from 1 species